GACGGAGGGUGCAAACGUUGCUCGGAAUCACUGGGCAUAAAGCGCACGUAGGCGGCCUAUUAAGUCGGGUGUGAAAUUCCAUGGCUCAACCACGGAACCGCUUCCGAUACUGACUGGCUCGAGGAUGGUUGGGGUGAGUGGAACUCCAGGUGGAGCGGUGAAAUGCGUAGAUAUCUGGAGGAACACCGGUGGCGAAAGCGGCUCACUGGACCAUUUCUGACGCUGAGGUGCGAAAGCUAGGGGAGCAAACGGG
rnacentral:rRNA from 1 species